UUUUGUUCUCGUUUUGGCAUUUACUCUAUCCACUUCCGUCGAAGAAAAAAAAAAGAGCUCUAUCCAUUGCGCACCUCCUUCGGCUAGGUCGUGGGGCAAGCGGUUUCGGACUUUCGGAGGCGAACGACUGGAGUUUCCGGCGGCAAGCGGGCAGCAGACCAGCAGCCAUGGGUUUCGACGGCCUACGAUGUGGCCUCGGUGUAGGGAACCACCGUGGGUGGCCUCGGCGGCGUGCGACGCUCCAGGUAGCCUUUGUUUUGUGCUUGGAGCCCCACCACCGCUCAGAUCUGUGAGGCAAGCUCAGCCAUGGCCCCUUCUUUAGCGGCGACUUGGCUUCCGACGACGGCGACAUGGAUGCGAACAGAGUCGCUUCCGACUCCUCAGCGUUAGUGCCUCUGGCCUAUACUACUACGUGUCUGUAUCCGUCCUGCCUGACCACCCGCACGGCGCCGUUGUCCUCAAGGACCACUCGCUGGCGGCCCAACCUCCAACUCCUCCCCGAACAAGGUUAAUGCUCUAGUCUUUAGCCUCUUCUCCCGCCUUCAUUUUUUUUUCUCCGGAUCUGGAGCUGCGAGCGAUUAGAAAGGGGUGAUUUAGCUAUGUGUGAGCGUAUCAACUUUUUCAGGGAACAUAUCUUGACAUUAAUUUGUGGAACUUGUUAAUUCCGUGAGAAUUUAGUAUGGCUAGCACAUGGUUGUAUGCUUCCACUAAUGUACGCCUAUUUGGAAAUUAGAACCAGGGCAAAGAAUGAGCAAAUACUCCACCUGUUUAUGUACGUUUGUCUUCUUUCAUGUAACAGAGUUCGGAGAUUCACAACGUAGGAAAGGAGGGGAGUUCUCAAAGCCCAGUUCUCAUUGAAAAACACCAAGAACAUCAUGGGAAUACGUGAGGUUUUUGCUCCUAAUUUUUUUAUUUGACUGCAAUGCCGUUACAUAGAUAGCUCUCACUUUCGGUUUCUCUGUGGAUUUAAAUUCUGAUCCUGUGAUGUUUUUCCUGGUGCUCAUAUUAACUCUGUCAUAACUGAUGUAAGUCAUUUUUUUCCAAAUAUAACUGAUGUAAGUCUUGGUGUUUUAGAAUCUCUCUUUAUGUAUGUUUGACACCAGUCAACUUUUUAUUGAGCCAUGAUGCCUUUUAUUUUGCCAAAUGUAAUUUUAGGUUCCUGUUGUGAUGAUCAGUUGCACUCAGUUACUCCUUUAUCAUAUUCUAAAGCUAAGAGUUUUGUGUAGUAUACAUGGCUAAAUGACUAACAAUUCAAUCUCAUUGACACUAGAAGGCCUCGUGGCUACAUGAACCUUUCCUUCUCGUUUUCUUCUGAAACUUGCUGCUUUGCAAUGUCAAUCACAACUUCCCAAGGCAGAUACAUGUUAUAUUAGAGGAUUGCAACAUCCCAUGGGCAUCAGCAACAGAAGCAGCAUAGAAUAGUGAGACAUUGUGGGAGGAGUAGGCGAUCGCGUGCGUUGCGGCCACGCGCCUGCCCGUGCACCGUGCACCUUCUGCCACCACGAGUUCCGACACUAUUGAGUUGAGCGGAACGAUAUGGAUGACGCAAGGAGAGGAAUAUAGAGCUGACAGUUGAUUUGGGAACAGGUGGUGGCGUCUCUAAAAACCAAUCUACAUGCUCUUUCGGCAGUAAGGCAUUGAUUUUAUUCAUCUUCAACUGAUUUUCCUAUCUUGCAGUGUUGUCCAUUUAAGUAUAAUUAUUUUAGUGCCCGACUUUUUACGACUGCCAUAGACAUGCAUUUACUUGGUUCUGCUUAAAAUUGAUUCGUCUGCAUGAUUUUAUUCAUGCUUGUUCAUAAAUUGCGUAUCCAGUAUGCCAUUGAUCAUUUUCAUUUUGUCAUCUCGACACUAGGCCAGAAGCUACAAGUGACUCAAUAGUUCCAAAAUAGACAAUUAUGUGUCUAUUUGGGCAGAACAUGGCCUGAUUCAGUGGGCGGCAUGGUCAUUCUUUUCUGAAUUGAAAUUAUUAUCAAAAGAAUUGACUAGAUCAUUUUGGUUGGAAUAAAAAAAGGACGAAUAUUUCUUCAUACUGUGGUUUUUUGUAGUCUUGCCGUUGCGGAAGCUGUAAUAAUUCUUCCUCUCUCUACGUUACAUGGAUAACGUGUUCCUAAUUUUCUGGUAUUGUUUUAUGAGAUGUGGUGAGUGGGUCUAUCCUAACGAAUUAUUCUGCAGACAAUCAUCAUCAAUGACUUGUUGAUGUGCAAGUGACAAGGAAACCGAAGAAGUUUCCAUGGGCAGAUGCAGAACAAAGUGAUGCCACAUAAGAACUUCUAACUAAAGCUUUGCUUUUCUCCUUAUCCAUAUUUUUGCAUAUCCUAUUUGGAUGCUUCUUACAGAAUAUUGCUACCGUUUCAGAUAUCAACUAUUCACCAUUGGGACAAGAAAUGCAUAACUUCUGAAGUUCUAUCUCAAGUAAUUAAGCCUAGAUUAUGGCAUUUUGAAAGGAAUCAACAUGUCUAUCACCGAAGCAUUGUGCAACUGAAAUAGUUCAGUCUGCCUUGUGUAGUUUCUUGCACAGAUUGACUCCAGCUUUUUGGCAAAUGAGGACACGCUGGUACUACAGAUUGACUCCAUCUUAUGAGAAGUGUGCAUGGCAGCAUCUAUUUUAGAUGCCCUCGAGUCCCUAGCUUUGGAAUCACCGGGACGUGCCUUUUAUGUUAGGAUUCCUAUUUUAUGAUGGCGCCUAGAAUUCUUCUGUGACAUAAUGUAUUUGGCACCUAGAAUUCUUAUCUGGCAUAAUGUAUUUCACAUUCAGUUCA